GGCAACAUAACUCAGUGUUAAGAGUAUUAGCCUGGUAUGUGGAAGGUCCUGGGUUCAAACCCCAGUAUCCCCU
rnacentral:tRNA from 1 species